CCGUAAUCUAUUUCCUCCCAAACAUACACAAAGAUGAAAGUAAACCCCCAGGAAGACCUAUUGUCUCAGGAAUAGGUUAUCUCCUAUGUAAUUUAUCUCAAUAUAUAGAUACCCUCCUACAACCUUCAGUUAAACUAAUGAGGUCCUAUUUAAAAGAUUCUAUGUCCCUGUUAAGAUUUUUAAACACUUUUAGUUGGAAACCAAACUUUAUUUUAGUCACUUGUGAUGUUCAGUCCCUCUACACCAUUAU